rnacentral:rRNA from 1 species
CAGCAGCCGCGGUAAUACGAAGGGGGCUAGCGUUAAUCGGAAUUACUGGGCGUAAAGCGUGCGUAGGCGGUUUGUUAAGUCUGUUGUGAAAUCCCCGGGCUCAACCUGGGAAUGGCAAUGGAUACUGGCAAGCUAGAGUGUGUCAGAGGAUGGUGGAAUUCCCGGUGUAGCGGUGAAAUGCGUAGAGAUCGGGAGGAACAUCAGUGGCGAAGGCGGCCAUCUGGGACAACACUGACGCUGAGGCACGAAAGCGUGGGGAGCAAACAGGAUUAGAUACCCCAGUAGUCCCUGUCUCUUAUAC